AAUUUUGUAUGCUUUGUUAUUGAAAAGAUUGUAAUUUGGGUGCUCCAAUUUACUUAUUAACCAGGAUCACAAAGGAGGUCAUUACAUUAUCGUCAAUUUUGCUUUUAAAGAAGUAUAAACUAGAGUAGCGAGUUACUUUGCGUAAGUGCAUCUAUGGGCAUAUGGCUAACUUUGAAUUUGUCAUGACUUUUAGAACUUGUUAUUCAUCGAUGCAGAUUGUAGUUUAAAGCUAUGUAUUCAUAAAUUAACCACCGGACCUCGACACAUAGUCAGAACUAAAAUUUUCGGUCCCUAACUUUUGGACGAUUUUUAAGAAACAGUUUUCGUCCGGUGUAUUUGUUGAGUGAGUAUUAUUUUAAUGCAUUUGUUUAUUAUGCUUGUAAACAAAUAGUAACUACAUAUGCCGAAAUAGUGUGUUUGAAGGUACUAAUACU